rnacentral:tRNA from 1 species
GCUCGCGUGGCGGAACUGGUAGACGCAAGGGACUUAAAAUCCCUCGGGGUUCACACCUCAUGUCGGUUCGAUUCCGACCGCGAGCACCA